rnacentral:rRNA from 1 species
GUAGGUGGCAAGCGUUGUCCGGAAUUAUUGGGCGUAAAGCGCGCGCAGGCGGUUCUUUAAGUCUGAUGUGAAAGCCCACGGGCUCAACCGUGGAGGGUCAUUGGAAACUGGAGAACUUGAGUACAGAAGAGGAAAGCGGAAUUCCACGUGUAGCGGUGAAAUGCGUAGAGAUGUGGAGGAACACCGGUGGCGAAGGCGGCUUUCUAGUCUGUAACUGGCGCUGAGGCGCGAAAGCGUGGGGAGCAAACAGGAUUAGAUACCCUGGUAGUCCACGCCGUAAACGAUGAGUGCUAAGUGUUAGGGGGUUUCCGCCCCUUAGUGCUGCAGCUAACGCAUUAAGCACUCCGCCUGGGGAGUACGGCCGCAAAGGCUG